GAUGAACGCUGGCGGCGUGCCUAACACAUGCAAGUCGAACGAGGCACCUUACCGGAUUCUUCGGAUGAAAGUUUGGUGACUGAGUGGCGGACGGGUGAGUAACGCGUGGGUAACCUGCCCUGUACAGGGGGAUAACAGCUGGAAACGGCUGCUAAUACCGCAUAAGCGCACGAGGAGACAUCUCCUUGUGUGAAAAACUCCGGUGGUACAGGAUGGGCCCGCGUCUGAUUAGCUGGUUGGCAGGGUAACGGCCUACCAAGGCAACGAUCAGUAGCCGGUCUGAGAGGAUGAACGGCCACAUUGGAACUGAGACACGGUCCAAACUCCUACGGGAGGCAGCAGUGGGGAAUAUUGCACAAUGGGGGAAACCCUGAUGCAGCAACGCCGCGUGAGUGAAGAAGUAUUUCGGUAUGUAAAGCUCUAUCAGCAGGGAAGAUAAUGACGG
rnacentral:rRNA from 1 species